rnacentral:rRNA from 1 species
UGGGGGAUAUUGCACAAUGGGCGAAAGCCUGAUGCAGCGACGCCGCGUGGGGGAUGAAGGCUUUCGGGUUGUAAACCUCUUUCGCUAUCGAACAAGGCCCGCUUAGGGUGGGUUGAGGGUAGGUGGAGAAGAAGCGCCGGCUAACUACGUGCCAGCAGCCGCGGUAAUACGUAGGGCGCGAGCGUUGUCCGGAAUUAUUGGGCGUAAAGGGCUUGUAGGCGGCGUGUUGCGCCUGCUGUGAAAACGCGGUGCUUAACUUCGCGCGUCCAGUGGGUACGGGCAGGCUUGAGUGUGGUAGGGGUGACUGGAAUUCCAGGUGUAGCGGUGGAAUGCGCAGAUAUCUGGAGGAACACCGAUGGCGAAGGCAGGUCACUGGGCCAUUACUGACGCUGAGGAGCGAAAGCAUGGGUAGCGAACAGG